GCCAAUUUGGCAUAGUGGUUUGAGCAGUAGACUACAAUUCUGGAGACCAGGGUUCAAAUCCUUGCUUGGCC